rnacentral:rRNA from 1 species
ACGCUGGCGGCAGGCCUAACACAUGCAAGUCGAGCGGUAGAGAGGUGCUUGCACCUCUUGAGAGCGGCGGACGGGUGAGUAAUGCCUAGGAAUCUGCCUGGUAGUGGGGGAUAACGCUCGGAAACGGACGCUAAUACCGCAUACGUCCUACGGGAGAAAGCAGGGGACCUUCGGGCCUUGCGCUAUCAGAUGAGCCUAGGUCGGAUUAGCUAGUUGGUGGGGUAAUGGCUCACCAAGGCGACGAUCCGUAACUGGUCUGAGAGGAUGAUCAGUCACACUGGAACUGAGACACGGUCCAGACUCCUACGGGAGGCAGCAGUGGGGAAUAUUGGACAAUGGGCGAAAGCCUGAUCCAGCCAUGCCGCGUGUGUGAAGAAGGUCUUCGGAUUGUAAAGCACUUUAAGUUGGGAGGAAGGGCAUUAACCUAAUACGUUAGUGUUUUGACGUUACCGACAGAAUAAGCACCGGCUAACUCUGUGCCAGCAGCCGCGGUAAUAC